rnacentral:rRNA from 1 species
UACGUAGGGGGCUAGCGUUGUCCGGAAUCAUUGGGCGUAAAGAGCGUGUAGGCGGUCCGGUAAGUCCGCUGUGAAAGUCGGGGGCUCAACCCUCGAAUGCCGGUGGAUACUGUCGGGCUAGAGUGCGGAAGAGGCGAGUGGAAUUCCUGGUGUAGCGGUGAAAUGCGCAGAUAUCAGGAGGAACACCGGCGGCGAAGGCGGCACUCUGGGCCGGUACUGACGCUGAGGAGCGAAAGCGUGGGUAGCAAACAGG